AUUGAACGCUGGCGGCAGGCCUAACACAUGCAAGUCGAACGAGUGGCGGACGGGUGAGUAAUGUCUGGGAAACUGCCUGAUGGAGGGGGAUAACUACUGGAAACGGUAGCUAAUACCGCAUACCAUCGGAUGUGCCCAGAUGGGAUUAGCUAGUAGGUGGGGUAAAGGCUCACCUAGGCGACGAUCCCUAGCUGGUCUGAGAGGAUGACCAACCACACUGGGACAGAGAAACGGUCCAGACGCCUACGAGAUCCAGCAGUGGGGAAUAGUGCACAGUGGGCGCAUGCCUGAGUCAACCAUGCCGCGUGUAUGAAGAAGGCCUUAGGGUUGUAGAGUACUUUCAGCGGGGAGGCGUUACCCGCAGAAGAAGCACCGGCUAACUCCGUUCCAGCAGCCGCGGUAAUAC
rnacentral:rRNA from 1 species